GAACGAGACCUUCGGGUCUAGUGGCGCACGGGUGCGUAACGCGUGGGAAUCUGCCCUUGGGUUCGGAAUAACAGCUAGAAAUGGCUGCUAAUACCGGAUGAUGACGUAAGUCCAAAGAUUUAUCGCCCAAGGAUGAGCCCGCGUAGGAUUAGCUAGUUGGUGAGGUAAAGGCUCACCAAGGCGACGAUCCUUAGCUGGUCUGAGAGGAUGAUCAGCCACACUGGGACUGAGACACGGCCCAG
rnacentral:rRNA from 1 species